rnacentral:rRNA from 1 species
UAGGGAAUCUUGCGCAAUGGGCGAAAGCCUGACGCAGCGACGCCGCGUGCGGGAUGAAGGCCUUAGGGUUGUAAACCGCUUUCAGCAGGGACGAAGCGAAAGUGACGGUACCUGCAGAAGAAGGUCCGGCCAACUACGUGCCAGCAGCCGCGGUAAUACGUAGGGACCGAGCGUUGUCCGGAUUCAUUGGGCGUAAAGAGCUCGUAGGCGGCUGCUCAAGUCGAAUGUGAAACCUCGAGGCUUAACCUCGAGCCUGCAUUCGAUACUGGGCGGCUAGAGUCUGGUAGGGGGAUCUGGAAUUCCUGGUGUAGCGGUGGAAUGCGCAGAUAUCAGGAGGAACACCGGUGGCGAAGGCGGGAUCCUGGGCCAGUACUGACGCUGAGGAGCGAAAGCGUGGGGAGCAAACAG